rnacentral:rRNA from 1 species
UGGGGAAUAUUGCACAAUGGGCGAAAGCCUGAUGCAGCGACGCCGCGUGAGGGAUGACGGCCUUCGGGUUGUAAACCUCUUUCAUCAGGGACGAAGCGCAAGUGACGGUACCUGCAGAAGAAGCACCGGCUAACUACGUGCCAGCAGCCGCGGUAAUACGUAGGGUGCAAGCGUUGUCCGGAAUUACUGGGCGUAAAGAGUUCGUAGGCGGUUUGUCGCGUCGUUUGUGAAAACCAGCAGCUCAACUGCUGGCUUGCAGGCGAUACGGGCAGACUUGAGUACUGCAGGGGAGACUGGAAUUCCUGGUGUAGCGGUGAAAUGCGCAGAUAUCAGGAGGAACACCGGUAGCGAAGGGGGGUCUCUGGGCAGUAACUAACGCGGAGGAACGAAAGCGUGGGUAGCGAACAGG